GACGAACGCUGGCGGCGUGCUUAACACAUGCAAGUCGAGGGCACUUUGGGGGGCAACUCUGGAGUGACCGGCGAACGGGUGCGUAACACGUGAGCGACCUUGCCUCGUGGUGGGGGAUAGCCGGCCCAACGGCCGGGUAAUACCGCAUAUGGUGCUUCUCUCGCAUGGGAGAGGUAGCAAAGCCCUGGAGCAAUCCAGUGGCGCCACAGGGGGGGCGUCGCGGCCUAUCAGCUAGUUGGGGGGUAAGUGCCCACCAAGGCGACGACGGGUAGCUGUCUGAGAGGAUGGCCAGCCACAUUGGG
rnacentral:rRNA from 1 species